UGGAUGAGGCUAAGAAAGCACAACUCAAGAAAAAGAAAGAAAUCAACAGAAUGCAUUUAGUUUUUAAUGAAAAGGAAGGGGAAGGGAGAAUAUGUCACCAUGAAGAAUUACUUGAAGUCUUAGAACCACACGCUGAUUUGGAGACUUUAAGAAUAAAGGGUUAUGAAGGUACAGUUUAUCCGGAUUGGAUCAUGUCAUUAAUUAAUCUGAAGCGUGUUCUGCUCGAUUAUUCUAAAAACUGUGAGAAAUUACCUCCUUUGGGAAAGUUGCCAUUCCUUGAAAUCCAUGAAUUGGAAUUAAUGGAACGCCUGAAAAAGUUGGGCGUUGAGUUUUUGGGAAUAGAAACUUCAAGUCAACAAGAGAUUUCGUCAUCAGUCAUCGUCUUCCCCAAAUUGACAACACUUAAAUUACGUUCCUUGAAGGAGUUGGAGGAGUGGGAUGAUGGAAUGAACAAAAAUGGAGAAGAAAAUGUUGCCAAUUUUACAAUCCUGCCAUGUCUUCGUUCUCUCUCUAUUUGGCAUUGCCCAAAGUUGAAGUUGGAGGCGUUACCAGAUUACCUUCUCCAGAAGAAUUAUCAAUUUCAAGGCUGCUUAACAAAAGAGGAAAGGAGGGAAAGGGCCAAACAAAUCUUGCAUCUCUAACCAUCAAAUAUUGGUAAUGAGCAUGUGCAAAGGUGAGACACCAACAGAUUCCACGGGAUUAGGGCAAAUGGGCAAAAUCUCCUUGGUCAAUCAAAGCAAUUGCGUCUUCAUGUGCAAAUCCUUCAUUGCCAUUAUGUUAUAUCCUUCACUGAAUCUUUCUGCUGCAACUAAAUACUCAAUGUUAGUUCAUACAUUUAAUAGAGAAUGCGCAAGUUCAAGGCGCCUUACACACUGAAAUUGGUUUUAAAGACUAAAUGGAUCAAUACAAUUUAGCCAGUUAAGGGUAAAUGAGCUAAAUCUACUUAUGGUGGAAUUAAGUAAUGAGAUCUUCAUUUGUGGUUCUAUUCAAUGGAGUUGUACAGGAAUCCUUGUUUGUCUUUGGAUUAGAGAACAGUACAUCAUUAUUGUAUUCUUCAUUUCUAAUUUGUGUAUGCGACAAAUGUGUGUGUGCGUGUGUUUGUGUGUAUCUUAAAAAGAUUCAUGGAUCAAUGCAAUUUAGUCAGUUACGCUGGUUAAACUAAUUGUAGACAUAAGAGGGCCUUCAAACGAGGCUCAAAACCUUGGGACAAUUGUUACAAUUCUGUGAGAAAUGCCAUACAUUUAUCAAUCA